rnacentral:rRNA from 1 species
ACGCUGGCGGCGUGCCUAACACAUGCAAGUCGAACGGAGUUAAUGAUUUCGGUGUUAACUUAGUGGCGAACGGGUGAGUAACGCGUGAACAACCUGACCCAAAGAGGGGGAUAACAUUUUGGAAACAGAUGCUAAUACCGCAUAAGACCACAACGUCACAUGGCGAAGGGGUCAAAGGAGCAAUCCGCUUUGGGAGGGGUUCGCGUCCCAUUAGGUAGAUGGCGGGGUAACGGCCCACCAUGCCAACGAUGGGUAGCCGAGCUGAGAGGCUGAUCGGCCACACUGGAACUGAGACACGGUCCAGACUCCUACGGGAGGCAGCAGUGGGGAAUAUUGGGCAAUGGGCGCAAGCCCUGACCCAGCAACGCCGCGUGAGGGAAGAAGGUUUUCGGAUUGUAAACCUCUGUCGCAGAAGACGAAGGAAGUGACGGUAUUCUGUGAGGAAGCCCCGGCUAACUACGUGCCAGCCGCUGC